CUUCAGUUCUUCACAGAAACACAGGGAGAAACAUUUCCAGCAUACAGAGAGACAGAAGUCACCUCAGAUUUAAACUCCCCUCUCCUUUCACACUCACCCCCUUGUGACUGUUUCCUUUGUUUGCCGGCCCCACCACCUUCAGAUGAAACGCCGGGUUGAGGUGUCCAUUCUUACCCUUCUCCAUGGAGCCUUCAAGUCUGAGGGAAUAACGAGGAUGGAGGCCACAAGGGUGUUAGAGGCCGUGAACUAGACAGAUUUAUUCUGAAGACUGUGCUGGCUUUUCAAUCCUACUUUCUAUUGAUUUGAUAGUCCCCAGUUGUAGAGGACUGGGCUGGCAAACAUUACGCUGUGUGUGUUUGUGCUGUGUGUGUGUGUUUCGGUCUGUCUCUGUGUGUCUCCUAGAGGAGGAGGAGGAGGAGCAGGUAUAGGAGGAGGAGGAGGAGCAGGUAGAGGAGGAGGAGCAGGUUGAGGAGGUGGUAGAGGAGGAGGAGGAGGAGGAGGAGCAGGUAGAGGAGGAGGUAGAGGAGGAGGAGGAGGAGCAGGUAGAGGAGGAGGAGCAGGUUGAGGAGGUGGUAGAGGAGGAGGAGGUCGAGGAGCAGGUCAAUGAGGAGUUAGAGGAGGUGGUAGAGGAGCAGGUAGAUCAGGAGGAGGUAGAGGAGGAGGAGGAGCAGGUAGAGGAGGAGGAGCAGGUUGAGGAGGUGGUAGAGGAGGAGGAGGUCGAGGAGCAGGUCAAUGAGGAGGUCGAGGAGGAGGAGGUCGAGGAGCAGGUCAAUGAGGAGUUAGAGGAGGAGGUAGAGGAGCAGGUAGAUGAUGAGGAGGUAGAGGAGCAGGUAUAGGAUCAGGUAGAGGAGGUCGAGGAGGAGGUAGAGGAGCAGGUAGGUGAGGAGGAGGUAGAGUAGGAGGAGGAGCAGGUU
ensembl:lncRNA